GCCGUGGUGGUGCAGUGGUCAGCACACCCGAUCCGGAAUCCUACGUUCUCUAAGUUCGCUCAUUUACCUAAGUCUCCAAUACACUCUCUCACGGAUCGGGAGGUCGUUGGUUCGAAUCCAGCCCAUGGUG
rnacentral:tRNA from 1 species